GCGCGGGUGCUGAAAUGGCAUACAGGCAGCGUUGAGGUCGCUGUGGGGAUUUCCCCGUGGAGGUUCAAGUCCUCUUCCGCGCA
rnacentral:tRNA from 1 species